AGAGAAGGACCGGACCGGCCGCCAUGUUGGAGCCCUGGAGCUGCGGCGAGCCAAGGUUUCGAGGGGCUCGUGGAGCCGAAAGGUGGCAUGGUGAGAAUGGUGAGGCUAGGAUGUAGAACUUGAUAGCCUCGCGCACCGGCUAGGACUGAACUGAGGCUACACUGGGGACCUUCAGGGCUGUCGAGCCAGAAAUGCCAUCGCGAGUCGGAGUGAACCGCAACCCGCAGGGGUUGCACAAGGCCUCGCCACCCCGGGACACAGGGAGUCGCUUUACUGAGCGUGGAGAAACCCUUAGACUUCCUGGGGAGACUCUCUGGGCAAAAUAUGUCUUUGUUGUGGUGUGGGGACUCGGGGCGACGGGCCUCGCUCCUGUAAGACGAAAAGCUCGCGUGCACCCUGUGUCGGACCCCUGCUCCCACCACUGAAUUUUCGUUCGGUCGUGAAUUGCAAAGGGCCUCAAAGAAAUCCUUUGCUAGAUAAUGUGAAGGGUUGUGGAGCUUGGCCCUGAAAAUGACAAAGGAAGGAUCUACCAAAAGAAGUUAGCACCUAACCUUUCUUACCCCACCAGCGAACGUAAACGACAUUGAAAAGGGACUGCAAGUGAGCAGUCUUACUCGACUAACGCUGAAUGAACUGUGCUAAAAUACUGCGUAUAUUCGAAAU
rnacentral:lncRNA from 1 species